AGCCCGGUAGUGUAGCGGUCAAUCAUGGGGGACUCUGGAUCCCCCGACAGCAGUUCGAAUCUGCUCCGGGCUAC
rnacentral:tRNA from 1 species